CAAGCUGUAGUCUUGGAUGAGACCGCCUACCUGGCUUCCUGCUUGGCCUGCACCUAGAUGAAGAGGACUGCCUGGCCUCCAUCGGGACGAAGUCAUGACUGCCUGCCUUACCUGCAUCUGGAUGAUGCAAGCCGUGACUGCCUGCCUGCCCGCCUGCUUGCCUUACCUGCAUCUGGAUGAUGCAAGCCGUGACUGCCUGCCUGCCUGACUGCCCACCUGCCUGCCUGGCCUAAACCUAGCCAGGACUGCCUCGGAUGUGCCUGGACUAAGCCAGGACUGCCUCGCAUGCGCCUGGAUAAAGCCAAGACUGCCUUGGAUGCGCUUGGACGAAGACAGGACUGCCUCAAAUGCGCCUGGACGAAGCCAGGACUGCCUCGGAUGCGCCUGCACGAAGCCAGUACUGUCUUGAAUGCGCCUGGGCGAAACCAGGACUACCUCGGAUGCGCCUGGACGACGCCAAGACUGCCUUGAUUGCGCCUGUACGAUGCCAGGACUGCCUCAGAUGCGCCUGGGCGACGCCUGGACUGCCUCGAAAGCGCAUGGAUGACGCCAGGCCUCCCUGCCUGCCUGCUUUGGAUGUGCCUGUCUGCCUUCCUGCCUGCCUUGGAUGCGCCUGCCUGCCUGGCUGCCUGCCUGCCUGAUCUGAAUACUUGAGGAGAACAGCAAACAAUGUGUCUGACCCGAUGGCAGGAAUACAACAAUCACUGUUACUUCUUCGGAACGAAGUAUCUGUACUGGAACAAAUGCUGAGAAAUACAAGGGAGGCCACCUGGCGAGCAUUAGGGACAUACAGGAGCAGGAGUGGCUGGCGCAGCAAAUAUGGAACACUACUAAUAGCUGGAUUGGCCUGCAACGUGCGGCACCUGGGAGCACUGUGGCAGUGGACAGACAGAACACCUUUCUCCUACUCGUGAGUGUCCUUAAGUGAGAAAGUGCGACAA